AACUUUCAGCAACGGAUCUCUUGGCUCUCGCAUCGAUGAAGAACGCAGCGAAAUGCGAUAAGUAAUGUGAAUUGCAGAAUUCAGUGAAUCAUCGAAUCUUUGAACGCACCUUGCGCUCUUUGGUAUUCCGAAGAGCAUGCCUGUUUGAGUGUCAUU
rnacentral:rRNA from 1 species